rnacentral:tRNA from 4 species
AGGGGUGUAGCUCAGCUGGCCAGAGCGUCGGUCUCCAAAACCGAAUGCCGCAGGUUCGAAUCCUGUCGCCCCUG